rnacentral:tRNA from 1 species
GGGCGUAUGGCUCAGUUGGUUAGAGCGCACGCUUCACACGCGUGAGGUCACAGGUUCGAGUCCUGUUACGCCCA